rnacentral:tRNA from 2 species
UAGGAUAAGGUGUUUAGGUGCACGGAGAAAUUUUGAAUUCUUAAGUGUAGGUUCAAUUCCUAUUGUCCUAG